GAUGAACGCUGGCGGCGUGCCUAAUACAUGCAAGUCGAGCGAACGGACGAGAAGCUUGCUUCUCUGAUGUUAGCGGCGGACGGGUGAGUAACACGUGGAUAACCUACCUAUAAGACUGGGAUAACUUCGGGAAACCGGAGCUAAUACCGGAUAAUAUUUUGAACCGCAUGGUUCAAAAGUGAAAGACGGUCUUGCUGUCACUUAUAGAUGGAUCCGCGCUGCAUUAGCUAGUUGGUAAGGUAACGGCUUACCAAGGCAACGAUGCAUAGCCGACCUGAGAGAGUGAUCGGCGACACUGGAACUGAGACACGGUCCAGACUCCUACGGGAGGCAGCAGUAGGGAAUCUUCCGCAAUGGGCGAAAGCCUGACGGAGCAACGCCGCGUGAGUGAUGAAGGUCUUCGGAUCGUAAAACUCUGUUAUUAGGGAAGAACAUAUGUGUAAGUAACUGUGCACAUCUUGACGAUACCUAAUCAGAAAGCCACGGCUAACUACGUG
rnacentral:rRNA from 1 species